rnacentral:rRNA from 1 species
AGUCGAGGGGCAGCACGAUGUAGCAAUACAUUGGUGGCGACCGGCGCACGGGUGAGUAACGCGUAUGCAACCUACCUAUCAGAGGGGAAUAACCCGGCGAAAGUCGGACUAAUACCGCAUAAAACAGGGGUUCCACAUGGAAAUAUUUGUUAAAGAAUUAUCGCUGAUAGAUGGGCAUGCGUUCCAUUAGAUAGUUGGUGAGGUAACGGCUCACCAAGUCCACGAUGGAUAGGGGUUCUGAGAGGAAGGUCCCCCACACUGGUACUGAGACACGGACCAGACUCCUACGGGAGGCAGCAGUGAGGAAUAUUGGUCAAUGGGCGAGAGCCUGAACCAGCCAAGUCGCGUGAAGGAUGAAGGAUCUAUGGUUUGUAAACUUCUUUUAUAUGGGAAUAAAGUGAGGAACGUGUUCCUUUUUGUAUGUACCAUAUGAAUAAGCAUCGGCUAACUCCGUGCCAGCAGCCGCGGUAAUACGGAGGAUGCGAGCGUUAUCCGGAUUUAUUGGGUUUAAAGGGUGCGUAGGUGGUUAAUUAAGUCAGCGGUGAAAGUUUGUGGCUCAACCAUAAAAUUGCCGUUGAAACUGGUUGACUUGAGUAUAUUUGAGGUAGGCGGAAUGCGUGGUGUAGCGGUGAAAUGCAUAGAUAUCACGCAGAACUCCGAUUGCGAAGGCAGCUUACUAAACUAUAACUGACACUGAAGCACGAAAGCGUGGGGAUCAAACAGGAUUAGAUACCCUGGUAGUC